AAAUCAGUCCCGCAAACGGAAUUCAAUUCAGCAAACUAGACAAUAAUCUCAAAUUUCAUCAUGUUGGGUUUAUCUCCUCCUCUCUUUUCAACAAUUGCAUGGCCCUUGGAGGAUCAUCCUACAAGUUAUGACCACAACAACUAUUUCUCAGCAGAAUCAUCGCUUCUUCAUUUCCCUACAACUCUGCAGCCACAGUUUGAUCAGCUUGAUGAUCACUCCACGCCAUCCACCGCAGUCAGCGGCGAGUCCAACAUUUCUUCGAUGGCUAAGAAGCUCAACCACAAUGCUAGUGAGCGUGAACGCCGCAAGAAUAUCAAUAACUUGUACUCCUCACUGCGUUCUCUAGUUCCCGCUGAUCAUGCGAAAAGAUUGAGCAUUCCAGCCACAGUUUCACGGGUGCUGAAAUACAUUCCAGAGCUCCAGCAGCAAGUGGAGGGACUAAUUCAAAAACGAGACGAGCUACUGUCAAAAAAUUUUAAGCAAGAAAAUGUAACCUUACAGGAGGAAGAACAAGCAAAAGGCACAGCAGCUAGAAGGAGUCGGAGCUCAGUAUCUGCUGUUAUAACAACUCGUCUUAGUGAUACUGAAGUUUCCAUUCAAAUAUCCACAAUUACGUCAUCCCACAAUUUCAUAUCUCGGAUUUUGCAAACUCUCGAGGAGGAUGGGCUAGAAUUACUGAAUGCUUCUUCCUUUGAGUCCUCUGGAGGGAGGGUCUUCUAUAAUUUACAUCUCCAGGUAGAUAUGUUCUACAGAUUGGAAUGCGAGAAGAUAAGCGAGAAGCUCAUGUCGUAAUAUGCAUGA